GCUUCCUCGUGGGUUUUCCAUUUUCCUUUUACAUAGCGAAUCACAAGUCAUCACACAAACGAACUGCAUCAGAUUUCUUCAAUAAUUACAAACUAAAUUUUGCAUUUUUUGUCUUCUCCUGCAAUAGCUAACUGAAGUCCACUUGAUUUUUUUCUAAACAAAAGAACAAAACAAAAAACAGUAUCACCUAACAGCGGACCAUAGCAGCGCACUGCACGCAUACACACACCGCACUGCAAUCAUUUUUCAAAAGAAGUGAGACCACCGCAUCUGACAAUACAUUUUUGUCAUCUAAAAAAACAGAUGACUGAGGGGGUGGACUGCACGCAUACACACACCGCAUUUUGCAAGCAUACACACAAUGAGCUGCAUAGUUUCUUUUUACAUUAUCUCCACUGAUAUAACUCACAACCUUCUAUAGCAACGAACUACACUAUUUUUUCAGAUGAGCUGCGUCGACGAGGCGUACUGCAUCUAAAAAGAAAUGGACUUCUCCAUGGAUUUUCACAAUGAACUGCAAAAAAUAUUCAGUGAGCUUCAAAACAUAUUCAAAGGAGCUGCAACCGUCGGGGGAAGCAGUAGCAAACAGGGAGGAGCUCAUCGAGGGGGAGGGGAACCAGAUCGAUGCUGGUUGGGAGCGGCACCCGAUAGGAGAACUUCUCCUUCCUCCUCUAUGCUCGUGGCCUAGCCCGCUGGUGAGGGUGCAUCCAGUGGGGAAGUCAAGGGCGCGGCGCCGGCGGUGGUGGCCCGGAGCACCCCUUCGUGGAGGUGGUGGCCGCGUGUGGCCGGUGGUGGCGGCCCGGAGCCCCUCUGCCUCCCCUGGACGGAUCUGGUGGUGGGGCCGCAACACGGAAUCCAAACCACGGGGUAGGGGGGAGAAAGAAGUGGGCUUGGGCAGGGCCAGGGCGCCGGCGCCGGCGACAAAGGAAGUAGGGUCGGCGAGGUGGGGCUGACUGGGGAACACGCGUGGGGGAUCCACGAAUCCAGUGGAUCCAGGCGCGGUGGAGGCCGGAUCCGACGAUCGCCAACGUCCACGGCCACUAGAGGGGAGGGAAGGGCAGCAGUGGGAAGCCGGGCAGGUGCGGGAGAGGGAGGUAGAGGAGGAUUGCACGGAGGAGCUCCGGUAGUGGUCAUAGGGGGGCAGUGGCCGCCGGAUCCGAUGGAGGGGGCCUCGUUGGGGGCCAGUGGCGGCCGGAUCCCGCCAUCGCCGCGGAGUGCGCCGGCAGUUGGGAGGGCGCUGGCCCGAACCGGCCAUGUUGGAGGAAGGAGGCGGGGUGGGGCAGGGCCCCGAUGGAGCUGGAGGAAGGAGGAGGCACUGCAGUUGGGUCGUCGGUGGUCGGUGGUGGGAGAACCGCCGCGGGGUAGGAAGUGGUCGGGGGUGCGGUGUCCUGACCCGCGGGGCUGGCGCAGAUCUGACGCAUGGUAGGUGCGGGAGGACCGAC
rnacentral:rRNA from 1 species